rnacentral:rRNA from 1 species
CAGUCGCCGCGGUAAAACGGAGGGUGCAAGCGUUAAUCGGAAUUACUGGGCGUAAAGCGUGCGUAGGCGGUUUGUUAAGUCUGUUGUGAAAUCCCCGGGCUCAACCUGGGAAUGGCAAUGGAUACUGGCUCGCUAGAGUGUGUCAGAGGAUGGUGGAAUUCCCGGUGUAGCGGUGAAAUGCGUAGAGAUCGGGAGGAACAUCAGUGGCGAAGGCGGCCAUCUGGGACAACACUGACGCUGAGGCACGAAAGCGUGGGGAGCAAACAGGAUUAGAUACCCGCGUAGUCCCUGUCUCUUAUAC